UUUCUGCGUCUAUCAACUUAUCAAUAGUCUUCCUCGACGUGCUCUUCUCAGCUUCUGAUUUAACCUGUCGGAAGAACUCAACGAGGACUAGUUUCUCAAUGGCGCUGUGGUGGUUCUCUACGGAGAGUGACUGACAAGCUUCCUUCAAGGUAUUGAGCUUUCCUUUGGCUGCUCCCAGCUCAAUAUUCAAAUGAGAGAUAGAGUUUUCCAGCGCAUGGUUUUUCUCAACAAGCUUCUCCACAAGUGCAAUCUUCUCGGUCUCAUUACAUUCUCUUAAGUUUGAGUUUUCCUCUUUAAGACAAUACAUCUCUUGCUGCUUUAGUUCAACUUCCGCUUCAAGCUUCAGUAUAGUUUGCUUUAGACUCGAGACAUCCUCUUGCAAACUCUUCACUGAUGCUACCGAAGAGAGAGAUUCAACCUUGGCUUGCUGAAUCUCCUCAUGCAUCUCGUUGUUUCUCUUCUCCAAGUUGUUGAUGAUUUGGGACUUGCUCCGAAGCUCCGCAGCUAAGUUAUUUAGCUCCUCUUGAGACUGAUAGUGCAACUGCUGCAGCGUUUGAAACGCGGUUUCAGCUUCCUGGAAACGCAGAUGCUCUUCUUGCACGUUGCUCCACAGCUUGACCAGCUCCGUUUGCUUCUCCGUGAGCUUCUGGCUUUGACUCCCCAGUUUCUCCAAUAGACCGUCAAGCUCCGAGUGGAGAUUCUGGUUUGACCUCUCGAGCACAGUGCAUUUCUCCUCGGAGAAUUUGAGUUUAGCAGCUUCGUCUUCCAACUCACUGCUAAGCCUUUUGGUUUCUUCUUGGGUGGAGUAGAGUUUUAAUUUCAAAUCCGCGAUUAUAUUCAAACACUGUUGGUACUGAAGCUCCGAAGCUUCUUUAUCCUCAGUCAGUUUGGAGAUAGUUUGCUUCAAGUUUACAACUUCUACUCCAGCCAUCUCAGCCCGCUCGUUGAUACCCCAUGCAUCUUCCUCAGCCUUCCUUAGUCUCUCUUCUAAAUUAGCUAUUGUUGUCAAGCAUUGCUUGUAAUUGUCCAGAGCUGCUUCCUUGUCAGCAAGGCUCUCCUUCAAUGCGAGAGUCUCAGCUUCAACUUCUCCAGCAUCCUUACGCGCUUCUUCCAAAUCAGCUAUCCUUUGCAGGCACUGCUGAUACUGAACAAGGGUGGAUUCCUUUUCAGACUCUAGCUUCUCAAUGACUUGUCUUAGUGUUUGAAUCUCAGCUUCUGCGCUCGACGCUUUGUCGUUAAGUCUAGCUGAGUCCUCUUGCGCACGAGAGAUUUCGGAUUCUAGGUUCGAGAGUCUCUCCAAGUUCUUUUCAAACUGAGCUAAGGUGGCUUCCUUUUCAGCCUCCAUUUUAGAGAUGAAGUCUUUUAAAGCUGCAACUUCAGCCUCAGCCUUGGUAGCUCGUUCGGAUUCGGAAACUGUUUCAUCUCCAUCAUCAAACUUGAGUCCUUUUCUUGCUUUUCCAAACGGAACAUCGUCCGGGUCACCCCGAGCUCGGAUAGGAGGACGCAUAUCCGGAGUUUGUGGAUCACCGUCAGCACCAGCAUGAGACUCGUCGCCAAAUAUGAAGGAAACUUGGUUGGGGAGCUCUUCUGCUAUAGUCUGAUGAGCCUUAUGGAUUACUACAGUUGCAUGGUUAUACCUUUCGGCCAGUGCGCGGUACGCGCGGUAAAACUCUUCGACCAGUUGCAUAAGCUCAGGACGUUUGCGGUAAUACAUCUCAGCUCUCCUGGCGAAAGAAUCUGCAUCUUCCUCGAGUACCUUGAUCAUUUUCUUCACGUUACUAUCCAUAUCUGCGUCAAAAGAACAAAGACUCAUGACUUUUUCUGGAUCAUAUUAUUAUAAUAAUUUAAAAAAAGUCAUCCGCUAUACAGUAACAGCUCUGGCUAAAGGUCAUCCGCAUCAAGAGUCUCUUACGAGUGAGAGACUCCCAAUGCGGAUGUUCUAAGGCCUUGUUGUCUCUAUAGACACUAAAUCAUGUUUUUUCAUAGGUCAAAACAAACCGCAAGCUCAGGUACUGAACGAUGCUAAGUGAAAUAUUUGUCACAAACAUCCAAUUUUUUUAAAAAAAAAACUACAUAGACAUAAGCAUACUCUCAAAUUUAUUUAAAAAAAAAUUGUUGAAUUUUUUUAUAAAUAGCUCCUUAAAUCUCAAGACCGGCUCUGCUCAAGCUAAAAGCAAAGUAACACUACAUGUGUAUACCCUUUAACAAGAUACGUACCUGCAAGAUUGUCCUGAAGCCAUUUAGAAUUCUUGGGGGUAUUGUGACUAUCCCACCACCAUGAAUACAUACGUUUCGAGUUACUCUUUGCCACAACCUCCAUUUUUUAAUAAACAAACAAACCACAAGGAAAGAUGUGUAUACACCAAACUUCCUUUCGUCUCACGCUCUCUCACAACCUAUUAAAAAAUAUUCCUGGAAAAAUACAAAAAAUCAGAGAGAUUGUCGAAUAAAUAAACAGGCAGACGAAAUGAGAUUUUAUAUGAUAUGAUUUACCAUAUAAUAUAUACAAUUUCAUGCUCUUAAGUCAAACCUAGAGAACACGUUUCUAGUCAGAAAAUGAGACGAUCACACAUGAAAACAUGAAUUAUAUAGUUCAUGAUAUAGCCAAAACCAUGAUCGAGAUCUAUCUAAUGAAUCGGGAAGCAAUGAAGUCGAGUUCGUACCACAAGAACACAAAAAUGAAUCGAGAUCGCUCGUCGGUGUGAUCGAAGAUGCUUUUGGAAGAGCACGCGCUUAGUCUCUUCUUCUUAGAUUCUCUUAGCGUAGCUUCGGCUUCCUCAUCUUCGUCGCAUAAUAAAAAAAAAAAAAAAGCCUAAACGAAUGUUGAAUCAAAGAAAACUACAUUGUUAUUUAGACUUUAAAUGAUAUUAAAUUAUAGUAUGAGAUAUCAUAAUUUUAAAAUAACAAAAUACCAGAAUUUAUUAUUUAUUAUGAUAAAUUUUAUAAUAUGAUAUAUUAACUAUUCUAAUUUUAAAAUAAUAAUUUAUAUUUUUUAAUAGUUUUAGACUGUUUAGAAAAAAUAAUAACCAUGUACAAUCUAGGUUCUAAAUGGUGACAUAAAGAAUAAAUAAAUAGGAAUAGUGAAUUACAAUUCAUUUCUUAAUAUUUUACCAUUUGUAAAUAAUUUUCGUUAGAUAUAGUGCUUUAUCAUUUUUUAAAUUUUAAGAAAUUUUGGAAUAAAGAAUUCUUUAUCAAAAUUGUUAAGGAACAAAAGUAAUAAAAAAAAUCUUUUGUUUUGUUUCUAUUCAUUUUUUUUAUAUUCUUAUUAUUAUUUUAAUGAUCACCAGUCCAUUUAAGUGUGUGUAAACGGCUGUACCUAUAUAAAGGUUUUCAAAAACAAUGCAUACUAAUAAUGAAAAAAACACAAAUAAUUUCUUAAUGUAGGACCGUUUUCACGUUCCGCGGUGAACUACAACGCCGGUUGCAAAACGGCGGUAUCAAACGUGGUGAUGGCGGUUGCAGUAGCAGUAACAUUACUGUUCUUAACGCCAUUAUUCUUUUAUACGCCGUUAGUAGUUCUGUCGUCUAUCAUCAUCGCCGCCAUGCUCGGCAGUGCCGUGCGAAGGUUUUCGGAGGCCCGAGGCGAGUUCAAAAAUAUAUUUUACAUGAUAUAUUUUUAAUAAUAUAUAUAUAUAUAACACUCAAAAGUUUUGAAUUAUUACAUAAACGUUUUCUAAAUUUUCUUCACCAAAAUUUUAUAAAAUAAAAUUUUUAAAUCAUGAACAAAAAGUAUGAAUUUGUAAUAUAAAUACAAAGAUAUAAUUUUUUGAUUCAAAUAUUGGUAGCUGUCAAAAAUGUAAAUUUUAGCAUUUAAAACAACUAUGAUAAACUAUAUAUUAAAAAUAUUAUAUUUUCUUUAUCAAAUUAUCAUAAAUAUAUAAAAUAAAUCUAACUUAUAGCAUAUAAAAGAAAAGACCAAUGUGAUCAAAUAUUUACAGUUUUUUAGAAGUAGAAUCUUUAUAGUUUUAUUUAAAAUAUAGCAAAAAUGAUCACAAACCUAGUUACUUUAAACAGAAGUCCAAAUUAAAUUCAAAUAAAAAUAAAAAUUUAACUAAGAAAAUAUGUUAACUACUAUGUAAAUUUUUUUUUUUUUUUUUUGUAAUUUGGGGCCCUAAAAUUUUUACAAAAUUUAGGGGCCCUAGGCAAAUGCCUUUUUUAAAAGCCUCUAAGCACGGCUCUGAUGCUCGGACUCGUUGACUACGAAGCAGCCAUGCAUCUUUGGAGACUCGACAAGUUUGAUUUCUUCGUUUGUCUCUCUGCUUUCCUCGGCGUCGUUUUUGGUACCAUUGAGAUUGGUCUCAUCCUCUCUGUACGUAUAUAGAAUAAUGCAAUAAUUACAGCACAAACACAUGUUUAUAUAUGCAAAAACAUGAAAAUGAAAAUGAAAUGCAGGUGGGAAUAUCAGUGCUGAGGUUAUUGUUGUUCGUGGGAAGACCAAAGAUUUAUGUAAUGGGAAACAUUCAGAACACAGAGAUCUAUAGGAACAUUGAACAGUACCCCCAAGCCACUACUAUCUCUGGUCUCAUCAUUCUCCAUAUCGAUGGUCCUAUUUACUUCGCCAACUCUAGCUACUUGCGAGAUAGGUUUAUUAUUAUUUACUUUAUAAUAAUUUAUCAAAUCUUAGCUAUUCUUACGUGAAUCACAUAUAUAAAUGAUGUGUUUAUGUUCAAUGUUUUGCUAGAAUUGGAAGGUGGAUCGAUGAGGAGGAAGAGAAACUAAGAAAGAGUGAAGAAAACAGUCUACAAUACAUUAUACUCGAUUUGAGUGGUAAGAACAUCUUUAUCGCACAACCCUAUUUUUUAUUUGAUUUUUUUUAUAUCUGACAAAAAAAAAAUUAAAAGGCUAACUAAUCGCGGACCGCUACGUGUCAGUGGGAUCCGUGAACAGUGCAAUAAUCGAAGAAACAAUGUUCUUUAUUUUGCACACGGAAGAACCGAGUCUUAUGCUUUUUGUGGGGAUCCAAACCAUAAAUUUUUUUAAGAACUCCACUUUUUAUCAGGGAUAAAGAUGCUCUAAGAAACUAAUACUUAAAAGGGUUUAAAACUCUUAUUUAAGAGCCGGUUCUUAGCUUUUUUUAGUUAAAAGUUAAGAGACGGGUUCUUAUAUUUCGCUAAGAACCCCACCCUAAGAACUCUCCAAUAAUCGUUCUCUUAGACAUUGAUUGGUUAAUUUUGAGUUUCUAAAACCAUUAUGCAUAAUCAGUUUACAUAUAAGUUUCUUUCAGUUUAAAUGUUAGAUCCAAACUAUGAAACAUCUUAAUAUGAUUUUAACAUGUAACAUUAUGUUUUAUGAUUUUUAGCUGUGGGGAACAUCGACACGAGUGGUAUAAGCAUGCUUGAGGAAGUCAACAAAAUACUGGGACGAAGAGACCUCAAGGUUUAGUCCUUCAACUUUUUCCUUCAGAUUAAGUCCCCAAACAUCUAUUGAUUUUACAUUUUGUCCUCUAAUUUUCUCAGCUAGUGAUAGCUAACCCAGGAGCAGAGUUGAUGAAGAAGCUAAGCAAGUCCAAGUUCACAGAAACCAUCGGCAAAGACUGGAUUCAUCUCACGGUAGCAGAAGCCGUCUCAGCCUGCGAUCACAUGCUCCACACAGCUAAACCGGAUUCACCGGAGAAAAUCUCCCGUGUACCGGAAUUUAACAACGUUUAAGAUGGUUACAAAUUAAAAUCUCACAUUUAUAUUUUUCACCAAGAAUAAAGUCGAAAAGCUAAGAGUCUGUCUGUUAUUCAAAUUUUCACUACUUACUACUAUUGCGUUCAAAAACAUAACGCUGUUAAAUUAAACUUUUUUUCACAUGAGAACAUGUUUCUUUUACUUGCGAGUGAAGUAAACAAUAACCUUUCACGGAGACGUUGACUGCUGAGCGCAGCCGCAGAACGCAGUCCUCUUCUUCGUCGUCUUCUUCAUCGUCACGCCUCUCGAUCCACCAUAGAUGUAAUCCCUUAAAACAACUUUAGACUUAGUAUCUGAGACCUUAGACUUAGCUUUACUCUCUUUCUCUCCUUCAAGCUUCAUCAACAAGAACUGAAUCCUCUGUAUCUCCAACUGUAACCUCCCAAUCUUCUCCGAACCUCUUCUCGCAUGUUCCGAGAUCCUCCUGCUUCUGUUCCCAUCGUUCUCUGACUCCGCCUUCGUGGACAGCUUCUGAUUCACGUUAAACAGUUUCUCCACCGCUUCCUCUGCUUCUUUAAGCUGACCUUUGAUCGUCGCGUACUCCUCACUCUCCUCAGUUUCCACUUUUUCUGUUAAAUCUUUCACAGUGAUCUGAAGAUUCUCCAGCUUCUUCAAAUCAGAACCGAGCCUCUCCAAGACCUUCCUCUUGUUCACUUCCACGUUCGGAUCCAUGAACCCGUCGAAAAUCUCUAGCUUAUCGACAACCAACGACUCUUCAGACAAAGACUUACCUUUAGCUUUCGCUUUAACCGCUGUCUCUGUCUUGUGUGUCUUCACAGGCUUUAACUCGAAGAAACUGUGGCUAUCAAGCUCCAAUGUGUCUUUCUUGCUAGUGAUCUCGUACGAUGAUCCAUCAGAAGUUUGGUCAAGGACUAUAUCUUUCGUUACGACGACCUCGAUUUCGUUGCUCUGCUUCCGAGUUUUGCCGCUCAGCUUCCUCAUGCUUCUCCCACCACCACCACUAACGGUUUUUAGUUCUUUGACUUGCUUCAACGCUGUCUCCAGCAUAGAGUAAGCGUUAGAGUUCUCAAGGACCAAAAGCUUUUCCUUCUCCGUUAUCGCCUCUGCAAUAGCUUUGAUUCUUAGGCACAUAUCUUCCACCUUGAGGGAUUCAUUCUUUGAAUCAUGGCCCUGGUAAGAGAGUUGAGACCAGUUCAAACAAGUUUCAUCGAAAUACAGUUAAAAUUGGUAUUAUAAAAUGAUUUGUUUGUAUUUAUAUAAGUCUUAUAUAUCUAAAUUAUUAAUUUAUAAUGUUGUUUAUAUAGUGUUUUCUAUAAAAAAAAAUUAUUUUAUCUAUUUGUGUUAUAUUUUGAACCGGUUGUAACUCUGGACCGAAUAAAUUAAUAAAUUUAACGUGUUUAUUAACUAACUUUAUAAAUGGAUAAGAUAGAUUUACCUUUGAAGGUCCAUUAACGAAAACAUAAUCCUCCAAAGAUCUAAUGCUUUCAUUCAACAAGACAAUAGCUCUACGCUUGUCCACAUCCACGCUUCUACUUUUAAGACCGUUGUAGGCUUCAGCUACCUCAUGAGUCAUUGUUUUAUUCAAAGUUUCAUGUAACGCCGAGACCUCCUUAUCGCAGAAGAACGUUGCAGCUUGAGACUCCCACAGUUCAACUCGACACCUCUCUUUGAAAACCUCCGUUUUGAUUUCCUCAAGCUCCUUCUCCUUCUCACGUAACUGAUCCUCUAAACGAUCUUUGGCUGAUCUGAUGGAGAGGAGGUUUCUCUUCAGCUGCAGAUUCUCGGUUUCUGCGUAUAUUAACUUAUCGAUCGUCUUCCUCGCCGUGCUCUUCUCUGCUUCUGAUUUAACCUGUCGGAAGAACUCAACGAGGACGAGUUUCUCGAUGGCGCUGUGGUGGUUCUCUACGGAGAGUGACUGACAAGCUUCCUUCAAGGUAUUGAGCUUUCCUUUGGCUGCUCCCAACUCAAUAUUCAAAUGUGAGAUAGAGUUUUCCAGCACGAGGUUUUUCUCAACAAGCUUCUCCACAAGUGCAAUCUUCUCGGUCUCAUUACACUCUUUUAAGUUUGAGUUUUCCUCUUUAAGACAAUACAUUUCUUGCUGCUUCAGUUCAACUUCCGCUUCGAGUUUUAGUAUUGUUUGUUUUAAACUCG
rnacentral:lncRNA from 1 species